ACAGCCGUGGUGAAAAACAGCCAAGAACAGCAAAAGUAAGUGUGAAGUGUUUCUUGAAGCACAAUAUUUUUACUCACCAUCCAGUAAAGAGAUCCGGAGGCAAAGUCGGCAUAUUGCUCGAUUGUGGACAGGACACUGAAGAUGAGACACACCAGGACCAUGAGGAAGCUGUGGAGAGGAACACAGCACGAGGGUUGUUCUCACAUCCCGCUGGCCUUGCAGCUUUGCCAGGUCUCUUUCGAAACCCCAGCGGGAUUAAGCGCGGAAUCACUCGUGUGUUUUAACGAUCCCUGAAAUAAUCCUUUGGACGCAUCUUUGGAGUGCUUUUACAUGACAUGGCAGCAAUGUUUGCAUGCAGCGGCAUCGUGAUUGGGCUCGCUUCAGCAAACACACACACGAAAAAAGAAAA